GAUGAAGAACGUAGCGAAAUGCGAUACUUGGUGUGAAUUGCAGAAUCCCGUGAACCAUCGAGUCUUUGAACGCAAGUUGCGCCCGUAGCCAUUAGGCCGAGGGCACGCCUGCCUGGGCGUCACACGUCGUUGCCCCCCCAUCUACUCCUUCGGGAUUGCGGGGGGCGGAUGAUGGCCUCCCGUGCGCCUCGUCGCGCGGUUGGCAUAAAUGCCAAGUCCUCGGCGACGCACGCCACGACAAUCGGUGGUUGCGAAACCUCGGUUGCCCGUCGUGUGCGGUCGUCGCGCAUCGAGGGCUCGAAAAAAUUGCCGGGCUCCGGCUCGGCUUUCAACGCGACCCCAGGUCAGGCGGGGUUACCCGCUGAAUUUAAGCAUAUCAAUAAGCGGAGGA
rnacentral:misc_RNA from 1 species